AAACAAGAAGCGAUUAAUCGCAAUCAGUUUCGACCUGAUUCGCAGGUAGAAACACUACCCUUGCUUA
rnacentral:tRNA from 1 species